rnacentral:rRNA from 1 species
CUCUUAGCGGCAUGCCUUACACAUGCAAGUCGAACGGCAACACGGGGCAACCUGGCUGGCGAAUGGCGAACGGGUGAGUAAUGUAUCGGAACGUGCCCAGUACCGGGGGAUAACUACGCGAUAGCGUAGCUAUACCGUAUACGCCCUACGGGGGAAAGGGGGGGAUCGCAAGACCUCUCACUAUUGGAGCGGGCGAUAUCGCGAUGAGCUAUUUGGUAGAGGUAAAGGCUCACCGAGGCUUCGAUCCGUAGCUGGGUUUGAGAGGACAACCGGUCACAGUGGGACUGAGACAGGGCCCAGACUCCUACGGGAGGCAGCAGGUGGGGAAUUUGGACAUUGGGCGGCAGCCUGUAUCCAGCAACUGCCGGCGUUGAUGCGAAGAAGGCCUUCGGGGUUGUAAAGCACUUUUGGCAGGAACGAAACGGUGCCGGAUGAAUACCUGGCGCCACUGACGGUACCUGCAGAAUAAGCACCGCGCUAACUACAUGCCAGCUAGCCGCCGUAAUACGUAGGGUGCGAAGCGUUAAUCGCGUAAUUACGGGGCGUGAAGCGUGCGCAGGCGGUUCGCGAAAGAAAGAUGUGAAAUCCCAGGGGCUCUACCUUGGAACUUGCAUUGCUAACUCCCGAACUAGAGUAUGUCAUAGUGGGGGUGGAAUUCCACGUGUACCAAGGAAAUGCGUAU